rnacentral:rRNA from 1 species
UACGGAGGGUGCAAGCGUUGCUCGGAAUUAUUGGGCGUAAAGGGUAGGUAGGUGGUCUCAUUUGUCUGGGGUGAAAGCCUUGAGCUUAACUCAAGAAGUGCCCCAGAAACGGUGAGACUGGAGUCCUGGAGAGGUCGUGGAAUUCCCGGUGUAGCGGUGAAAUGCGUAGAGAUCGGGAGGAACACCAGAGGCGAAAGCGGCGACCUGGACAGGCACUGACACUCAACUACGAAAGCGUGGGGAGCAAACAGGAUUAGAACCGUACC